AAUCUAUCCAAGUUUUCUUUAGAAUUCCUUCUCUGAAGAUGCUGAUCUUGAAGUGGGAAUCUAGAUUGUACUUUCAAGUCGGAACAAGAGUUUACUGAUCCUGCAUCCAUGAUGUUAAUAACAACAAAACAAAUACAACUAAUAAAGGUAAAGAUACAAACCACGAAACUAAAUCCUGUAAAAGAAAAGAGGAUUAGAUAGAAAGAUUUUUAAAAAAAAAAAAUCCAAACAAAAAAUAAAGGUAAAGUAAAGUUGAGAGAAAUAGAGAACACAGGGCUUUGCACCCUUUGGUCUUUGUUGUUGAUUAAUAGAUAGAGAGAAAGAGAGACUAUGAUUGUAAAUUAUCAAGUGAAUUUGUGGGUCUAUAUACUGACUAGAAUCGCAAUUAGGGUUUCUGAUGUGCUUGGUUUGUUGAACUAUUGAUCGCCGUCAAGAGGAAUGUAUCAGGAUUACUG
rnacentral:misc_RNA from 1 species